rnacentral:rRNA from 1 species
UACGAGGGGGGCAAGCGUUGUUCGGAAUUAUUGGGCGUAAAGGGCGCGUAGGCGGCGUGGUAAGUCACUUGUGAAAUCUCUGAGCUUAACUCAGAACGGCCAAGUGAUACUGCUGUGCUAGAGUGCAGAAGGGGCAAUCGGAAUUCUUGGUGUAGCGGUGAAAUGCGUAGAUAUCAAGAGGAACACCUGAGGUGAAGACGGGUUGCUGGGCUGACACUGACGCUGAGGCGCGAAAGCCAGGGGAGCAAACGGG